AAAUUUUUCAAGGAUUAUGUUCGUUCGAGCACGAUGGUAAGUGAUUUUGUUCAUCAGUAUGAGAAAGCCUUAGAUGCACGCUAUUUUAAGGAAAAAGAGAAGGAUGUGAGAACGAAAUCAACUAAGGCGGUUUUGAAAACAUGUUGGUCAAUUGAGGAAGAGGCGGCGUCAGUGUAUACAAGGAAGUCAUUCCAAAUCUUUCAAGAUGAGCUAUUUAAUAGCCAACGAUACAAAGCGUCCAAAGUUCAGAAAAAGGGUGAGAGUAAGAUGUAUGCAGUAGCACCUAAUGGCAAAGAGAAACCCAUUUAUUAUGUGACUUAGGAGAGUGGAGAAACGAAGGCAACAUGUACAUGUCAUAUGUUCGAGUUUCUGGGUAUUGUUUGUAGGCAUAUCUUAUGUGUCCUAACAAAGAAAUCAAAAUUAGAUGUGUUGCUAUAUCAUUAUGUGGUUGAGCGAUGGACAAUCAAUGCUAAGAGUCGAGCUAUAGUUGAGUUACCAGUUUCUGAGGGGUAUGUAAUGACACAAGAAGAUCCGAUAAUGUGAAAAAACAAGUUGAUGAUGCAGUUUUACGAUGUUGCAGACCUUGGCGCACAAUCAAAUUUUAAAAUGAACCACCUUUCUCAUGCCUUGGAGAAGGUCCACAAUGAGUUGCUUUUAAUAGAAGAUAUUGGAGAAAGAAAUUUCGAAGUCGGGGACAUGUCACAUAAUGAUUCCCCUAUGUUAAGAUCACAAGUAAUAUCAAAUUUCUCACAAACUAUACAAGAUCCUCAACGCGUGCCAACGAAAGGAAGACCGAAAUCCUUGAGAGCAAAGAACCCGAAAGAAACUCAAACAGUGAAGAAAAGGCGUUGUAGCAUUUGUAAAAUUGAGGGUCAUACGAAGAACAACUGCCCAUCGUUCGGGGAUAUUAGAAAUAUAAAUGACAACAUAUCACAACGGCUUGAUAUUGAAGAACAAAAUUAGAUGAGAGUAGCUAACUGUUGGAGCAUUUUGUGUUGAAGUGGCAUACUACGCUGAACUGGAUGAUUUGUGUUGUACUGUCUUUGUAUUUUAUUUAGACUGUUGGACAUAUCUUUGCAUUUUAUUUAGACUGUUGGAAGUAAUUUUUCUAAUUAUUUAGACUGCUCAUGCAUUAAGCAAUGUUCAGAUUCACGUAUUCACGUGUUACCAUAACCAGAAAAUGAACUUUUGUGUGUUUAAUCC